rnacentral:lncRNA from 1 species
AGAUGAUUUCCCUUCAGAAUUUACCAGCUGAUCAAGAUAUGCUUGCUAUCAGAAAAAGGUAUUAAGAUGAAAGUGUGUCCACAAGGGUUGUGUGCUGACAGAGGACAAGCUAUCAAGAAAUGCUACCAAGUCAUGUUCUGAUGUAUGCCAAGUGGAAGACAGUCAAGUCCAGAGAAGAGGAGCAUCUCAAACCCUCUGUUGGUCAAAGGAGAGAAGAUAGGAGCAGAACUCAGAGAAAGAGGCUAGAACACAUCCUGCAGUGAGGAGAUUUUGCUCUUACUUGAGGACAGACAGAGAUUCAAGAGCCAGCUAAUCGUGGAAUCUUCAUAUAGACCCAGAAACAAUAACAUCGACCAUGUGUGACGUGUUGCAAGUUACAAGGUAUCUCCAUAUGCUACCUGAUCUUCCUCAAAAGUCUAUAUUCUGGCAGGAUUACUUUAUCUAUCAUUUUGCAGAUUAGAAAAGAGAGAUGCAAUGUAGCAAAGUUAUAUGUUCAAGGAAUAACCAGAGGAUUUACUCACUUCUGGACUCUAAACUCCUAGCCCCA